ACAAGCGGUGGAUGAUGUGGAUUAAUUCGAUGCAACGCGAAAACCUUACCUACCCUUGACAUGCCACUAACGAAGUAGAGAUACAGUUAGGUGCCCGUAAGGGAAAGUGGACACAGGUGCUGCAUGGCUGUCGUCAGCUCGUGUCGUGAGAUGUUGGGUUAAGUCCCGCAACGAGCGCAACCCUUGUCUUUAGUUGCUACGCAAGAGCACUCUAAAGAGACUGCCGGUGACAAACCGGAGGAAGGUGGGGAUGACGUCAAGUCCUCAUGGCCCUUAUGGGUAGGGCUUCACACGUCAUACAAUGGUGCAUACAGAGGGUUGCCAACCCGCGAGGGGGAGCUAAUCUCAGAAAAUGCAUCGUAGUCCGGAUCGUAGUCUGCAACUCGACUACGUGAAGCUGGAAUCGCUAGUAAUCGCGGAUCAGAAUGUCGCGGUGAAUACGUUCCCGGGUCUU
rnacentral:rRNA from 1 species